UACGAAGGGGGCUAGCGUUGCUCGGAAUCACUGGGCGUAAAGGGCGCGUAGGCGGCCAAGUAAGUUGGGGGUGAAAGCCCGUGGCUCAACCACGGAAUUGCCUUCGAUACUGCUUGGCUUGAGACCGGAAGAGGUGAGUGGAACUGCGAGUGUAGAGGUGAAAUUCGUAGAUAUUCGCAAGAACACCAGUGGCGAAGGCGGCUCACUGGCCCAUAACUGACGCUGAGGCACGAAAGCCAGGGGAGCGAA
rnacentral:rRNA from 1 species